AUUCAUUUUGUUAAUAUUGUAUUUCAAAGAACUCACUAUUUCAAAAUUCAGGGCUGCGUUUGCUCAAUUUAGAUGUUUUUCACACCGGCUUUGAAUUGAAACUGGCAGAUAUGCUAAUGAAACUAAAGUUGAUAGAUAAUGUCUUCUAUGCAAAGAACGAUAUAUUGAAGACGAACACCAUUUUUUAUUAGAAUGUAAUGUAUACCAAGAUCUGAGGUCUUUACUUUUGCCAUGGAAAUACUAUUUGAAUCCUACUGUACAUAA